CUCCUUUGUGAGUUAUUCAGCUCCUCAGUCCUCUUUAUUUCUUUCUCUUUCGGCCAUUGUUUUUUGUAACCAUUCUUAUCAUAUCAAAAGAAGCGCAUUCCUCCCACCUCCAUACGCGCUUUCAUGCGUCAUUUUUGUGCGCACAUCUGCCUAAGUGCAUCUUUUUGUGUCCACAUUCUUUCAGUUACUGGAGCUGUUCACCCAGUGGGACUGGACGACCUACCUGGCUGACUACGGAAAACCAACCUGCAAAUACCUGAGAGUCAGCCCGCACACGGCCCUAGCCCUGCUGGAGAAGAUGAGGGAGACGAGCAGAAAAAACAACGUCUUUGCCCAGUUUAGGAAGACGGACCGAGACAGACAGAAACUCAUCGACACCAUCAUCAAACAGCUACGCAACCUCAUCGCACAGCACCACGCCUAGAGCGGGCCGCCUCAUUGGCCAGCAGGUCUGAAGCCACCAUCUUUAAUCGGCUGAUCUCAACCAUUGCAGCCCGAUGAAAAGCAGACUCCCGUUGAUCUGUUUCAGCCCUGCAACCAUUGGCUGAUCCAUGCACUUUAACUUCGCUGGACUCCAGUGAACUGCCGCCAGUUCCUAUUGGUCAUCUUCAACGCCCAACACCAACCGCUGUAAACCUGCAACAAGCUCAAUGGAUAACAAGGUCUAACUCUUCGAUUUCAUUGGUUAACCCAAGCCAUUGUUUUCUGGAUUACCAAGCAUAUCUAUCGAGGCUACAACGUGCGUUUUGACAGCUCGGUUUUCACUUCAACUUCAUCUAUGGGACUGAAACACUGGCAGCUUAUUGGGCCUCAACUACGCUCAUCCUGUUGGUUACUUCCUGCCCCGGAUCUAAACCGAGUAGUCCGAUUAGCUGAAGACAAGACAAGAAAGAAGCUCUCUAUUAUCUUAUUGGUCUCUUUGUACGAUUUGUUGACCAAAAGGAAAACAUUUCACCAACCUCAUCUUACCGUUUAGUUCCCAAGAUUUGUGACCUGUUGUGGAGAACCAGAAAGUAGAGCAAAUAAUAGUAGAACAACAAUGAACUAUGUGGUACCAACUGAGAAAAUAGCAAAAAUUGACAAGCAGUUCAGACUCUAAAAGCAAAAAUUCAUAUUAAAAUGACGUGUCAGGGAAAAAAACUAGGAAUACCAGUGAGGAAAAGUAGUUUCUCUGAUUCAGUCACUGAAUGCUGUAGGCACAUUUGUAGGGUGGGAACAUGUUAAUUUGGGUUUUGAGGAACACUAGAUUCCUAUGGGACUUGUCUUUGAGAAUCUAUGACGUUUAUUAUUUUUUGUAGGACCUCCAGUUUGGUAGAUUUUAUUCUUUGCACCACAGUCUUCCCAUUUCCCUUCCCUAAAAUCUAAGUGGCUGGUUAGGCAGUCUGCUCUCAUCCCCCUUUAUUUAGUUUCUCCUUGCCCCAGGCGAUUUUUAAUGUCUUUCACAUUGCUCUCCUUCACUGUGGCACAAUGACCGAAUGGAUUGAAUGUACAUCAGAGGGAAUGAUUUCAUAUUACAGCUUGAAAUACACUGUAAUUAACAUCAGGUCUGGGGGGGGGAGACAUUAGGGACGAAUGAACAAAAUGUUCCUCCAGUAUUGUCUAAUAAAGGGGGAUAUGCACGCAAAAUGGCAACCUUUUCCCCCUUAAUAUACAACCUGUGAACACUUGAACGCUCAGAUCUGAUAAACGUAUCCUCUCUUCUUGACGCCUGAAAGCACAGUGAGUGUUUGGGAUUUUAAACGGGGGAUGUUGUCUAAACAUGGCAACCCAUUUCUCCACUUUCAUGAUCCUGUUGCUCUAGCAUUUUCUACCCUUCAUGUAAAAAUAACUGGGUCUUAAGGAGGGGCACUAUGCCUCAAACUGGCAACUGCCAUAGAGUAUAUAGUUUUCUUUGCCUAGUUGCCUAGAAAGAGACUCAUUUGUAUAGAAAGCAGUGUACUGAUGCCAAGCACACACACUUUUAUGUCUUCCAUAAACACAUGUCAAGCAGUGUGUGUGUGUUUGUUUUGGCGACUUGCACACACAAAGGUUUGUUUAGAAGCACAGCACAUAAUGACAAUUUCACUAGAUUAUUUGUUGGCGCUAAUAAGGGUUUCUUUUCGCUCUUUGUUUUGCUUUUGAACUUGGGUGCAAUAAUAGCGUUGAAAACGACAGCAUUUUGUGUGUGUGUUAAUCAUGGCGCUUUAUAAAGGGAUGCAAACCUACAGUCCCCGUCAGAAGGGAAUUUAAGUCUUCCACUUCCUUUGAGCAGUUGCCAUGUUUGAUUUACUGAGCGACAUCAUGUGUGUUUGUGUUCACUCGUGCAUGCCUGCACUGGGAAAUUGUGCGCAUUUAUGUAUUUGUGUGUUUGUUAUUCAUCCAUCCUUUGCGAUGUAUCAUUUUGAGGUGUUAGUAAGGGAACAGGGCCGUCGUUAUUGAAUGUGCCUUUGCUGUAUUUGGUGUUUGUUUUCCUGCCAAUAAAGCAGCAACACUGGUGUUUGGACGCUGAACGUGAAUGAACUGUUGGAAGUCUGAAAAACAAAAGUCUUAACUCAAAGUCCAUUUACUAGCUUCAUCCAGAGUUUUCAAUGUCGCCUCCCACUCUCCUGGAGGUCAAUUUGUCACUUUACCUUUUCUGUGACACAAAUUAAAAUGCAUUUCGCUGUUGUUAGCUUUUUUUAAGUAGUAGUGUGUAGUAACGUGCAUUUUUAGACUGAAAUUAAUGACUGAGCGACAUAAUUUACAACCUGAAAUGUACUUUUUUUUUUUAUUAGACAUGUUUUCUUAUAAAAGUAAGGUCUGUAUCUCCUAAUUUAGAAGGAAACAAUCUCAUAAUUUAGAACUUUUUUCUUGUAACUAAUAAAUCAAAAUUUUGAGGAAAAUGUCUCAUGCAAAUGCAAUGCACAUUUGUUAAACAUUGAGACAACCAAAAAUGUCUCAAAUGUAAACCUAUACACAUCUGGGUUAUUUGAUCUAUUUAAAUGGUCCCAUUCAGUUAUUUUAGUUUCAGUUGCAUAGUUGUCUAUAAUCCUGCCUGUCUGAAUUGCCCAUUGCCUUAUUUCUGUGCUCGGGAACACAGUGCCAGUAAUAAGCAAAGUAACAGGACUUUUCCGUGUUCGAUCCACCUCUCUAACAUUGAUAGUCCUGCAUGUUUGUCUGUGUCCAGAGUCUUCACAUUGCGGGUGUUGCUGCUGCUACUUGUUUUGUAUUUUGAAAGCAGGAAUCUUUACUGAGACAGAAGCACUGUACACGCUAUUGUAUUAAACCACUAAUGAUUGAAAAUAAAGUAAAAUACUAAUACAGUUACGACAAAUAAAUGUAAAACUGUU